rnacentral:tRNA from 1 species
GGAAAUAGCUCAGUGGUAAAGCACAUGCUUAGCAUACAUGAGGUCCUGGGUUCAAUCCCCAGCACCUCCA